rnacentral:lncRNA from 1 species
CAGUGUGUUUUUUGAAGAUGGAAAGGGCUACUUAGGUGGAGUUGGGAAAUUCAUUCUCAUUUACUGUAGCUUGAUGGUGGAAAGCUUAGGAAAGUGAUUUUCUGCCUCUUUGUGUUAGCAGUACCACGAGUGCCGGUCCUGAGGACAGUUGAGAUCGAAAGUAAAGCAGAGGGAGAGAAAAAGGAAUGGGAUCAGGACUUCACAAAGGCGAUAUAUGAAAACGCUGAUGGAGCUGUGUCCUUGAAGUAGGGUCCAUCGGGACACACGGAGGGCUAGAACAGACGUGACAUGCUGUGCAUACUUUACCCAAGGGAGAACAACCUUCGGCUCCGAACAAUCUGUAAACAUGAGGU